AAACUUUACAAUGCGGGAAACCGUGAUAAGGGAACUCUGAGUGCCCGUAAAAUCGGGCUGUCCAUCAGUGUAAAUAACUGGUGAAGAAAGGGCCGGGCAAGACCGGUGCCAGCCGCCGCGGUAAUACCGGCGGCUCGAGUGGUGGCCACUAUUACUGGGCUUAAAGCGUCCGUAGCAGGGUUGUUAAGUCUCUUGGGAAAUCUACCGGCUCAACCGAUAGGCGUUCAGGGGAUACUGGCAACCUAGGGACCGGAAGAGGUGAGAGGUACUCCAGGGGUAGGAGUGAAAUCCUGUAAUCCUUGGGGGACCACCUGUGGCGAAGGCGUCUCACCAGGACGGCUCCGACUGUGAGGGACGAAAGCUGGGGGAGCAAACCGG
rnacentral:rRNA from 1 species